rnacentral:lncRNA from 1 species
GCAACUGAUUGCUUCUUCUUCUUUGGCCUGUUCGGGUCAAGAGAAGCGAUAUACUGUGGAUAAUUUCUCUUCCAGUGACCCUGCUUCUUGUAAAAAAAGCACUCUGUCUGACUUUGAUCAGUCUUAAACUUGAGUUUUUGAGACUGACUCCCAUCACCAGGCACCUUCUUAUUCUUCUUCUUUUUCUCUUUUUUAAAGGGACGACGACUACCCGAAGA